AGAGUUUGAUCCUGGCUCAGAACGAACGCUGGCGGCAGGCUUAACACAUGCAAGUCGAGCGCCCCGCAAGGGGAGCGGCAGACGGGUGAGUAACGCGUGGGAAUCUACCCAUCUCUACGGAAUAACGCAUGGAAACGUGUGCUAAUACCGUAUACGUCCUUCGGGAGAAAGAUUUAUCGGAGAUGGAUGAGCCCGCGUUGGAUUAGCUAGUUGGUGGGGUAAAGGCCUACCAAGGCGACGAUCCAUAGCUGGUCUGAGAGGAUGAUCAGCCACACUGGGACUGAGACACGGCCCAGACUCCUACGGGAGGCAGCAGUGGGGAAUAUUGGACAAUGGGCGCAAGCCUGAUCCAGCCAUG
rnacentral:rRNA from 1 species